GCCGCGCACUGCACUGUCAAGUUCAACAUUUUUAUUUUGAUGAAAGUUUUGCAUCGACUUGUGCACAGAGACAAGUGGGCGCACACCCAGGCUCACGCCCCAGUGGUUCCCCAGAAUCAUUUUCUCGCAUUCCUUGGAGCCCGUCUUGCGUCAGUCGUUUUCCACAUCUGCUGGGCGGCACCGAAGGAAUGUCUAUUUUUUUCUGGAGGAAUGCUCACCAAAUUCACAAGCAAGAACUGAUUAAGUGAUCAUCUACUGGUGUUUACUGCUUACAACUCCAGGGAAAAGUUGCAUUCUGGUGGAUUACUACUUUUCUAAGUCCCUCCAGAUUUUCUUCUAUGAAGAGGUUACAAACAGGGAAGAUCUCUAUGAAGAUCUCUAAGUUCACUGAGGAAGUUGU